UUUAACCCUUUACCACUCAGAUAUGCUGUUUGACCCAUUUUCAGGCCCUCAGAACAUACAAAUUAUCGUCCUUAAAAGAUUCAAACUUCAUUUCCUAUGCUUAGAUACUGAUUAGCUGUAAAUAGCAUAAAACCUGAACAGCCUGUGAGUUACAUAAUCUUUUCACUUUGCUUCUGAGCACAAAAGGUUUAAUAAUUUGCAAAGAUUGUUAUAUGACAACAAUUGGCCAUGUGUCGAAGAACUUUGUUAACCAGGUUUUCCGAAGGAAAAAACUGGUUAUUAGAUUGGCGAAUGCGGGCGGGCUGGCUGGCUGGCGGGCUGGCUGGCUGGCGGGCUGGCGGAAUAAGCUUGUCCGGGCCAUAACUAUGUCGUUCAUUGUCAGAUUUUAAAAUCAUUUGGCACAUUUGUUCACCAUCAUUGGACGGUGUGUCGCGCGAAAUAAUUACGUCGAUAUCUCCAAGGUCAAGGUCACACUUUGAGUUCAAAGGUCAAAAAUGGCCAUAAAUGAGCUUGUCCUGGCCAUAACUAUGUCAUUCAUUGUGAGAUUUUAAAAUCAUUUGGCACAUUUGUUCACCAUCAUGGGACGGUGUGUCCCACGAAAGAAUCACGUCAAUAUCUCCAAUGUCAAGGUCGCCACGACUAAAAAUAGAUUUUAAAAAAAAAAAAAAAUUACAAAGGGGGUUAAUUUUUUUGGUCAUUUCAAAA